UGGAAUCUAGUACUACAGAUAACCAUAUUCCGGGCCACAGCGAGUCGAUCAGCUUCAACCCAUUUGGGAAUGUUUCAUCAUGGAAGCUGAAUAUACCGAACGUUGUGGCAAAGAUACCUUCUUUACUCACCCCGGCGCUAAAAUCGCCAAGCACGAUUGCCGCAGGACAGAUAUUGGAUAUGUCGGGGUCUAUUCUAUAUAAGUAUUAGUUUAAUCUACUACAGUAUCCAGAACGAAGCUGCGCAAGGGUCACUCUCGUCUCUCGCGGCAACUCGAGCUCUCCGUCUGCAAUGGGUUUUGGUUUGACUCCAAGUCCAUCGCAUUUCGUAGACAGUGGUGAUGUCAGCCUUUACUUUAACGAGGACAUCAGCCAGCUGGCCAGCGGCACCUUCUCAAUUAAGAUACCGCAUAUUUCAGGUGCAUGACCUUAAUUCGCAAUCUUUAACGCGUUUGCUGUGGUCGUCAUCAAAAGGGGAGUUUCUCUUCCGAGGCUGUUGUUUCAUUUGUUCGCCUUCUCACUUAAGCUCGCCUUCAAACGGAUGUUUUAGGCUACCCAGAAGAUACUUGGUCUAAGACCGAAAUUCAUGAGCUGCUUAUGCCAUUCAAAAAAAAAUCGUUUCUGGCCACUCCCAAGUGAAUGGCAAUCAGAAGACUUUCCUCACUUACGUGAACUUCUACACAUGACUCUAUCCUUCAUUAUCCUGUACUUAAACUAAUUGUGCAAUUAAACGAAUAUAGAUUAAUUGAUUCCCCGGUUAAUUGCACUAAAAUUAGGCAAUUUCUGAAGAAAAAUUAUCCGGGGGAUAUUGAAUAUACAUUUAUUAUUGCUUAAACUUACAUACGGUGUAUAGAAAAUUUGUAAAAGUGUUUAUGUACAUAUAUAUUUUGUAAAAGUAUAAAUCAAAAUAUUUUAAUUAUUAAGUCUAAAUACACGCACAUUAUGAAUAUGUAUGCUAAUAUAGCGGAAAGCUAAACAAACAAACUAAACUAAAAUAAGUAAUUGUAAUAUUAUACUCAUGGAGUUUUUUUUAUGAGUUCUUUUUGUAAAGGGUGUCCCAAAAUUUACGCUAAAUUUAAAUUUGCCGCCAUUUAUAUAGUAAAGUGUUGAUAACCCUUAAAAAAUAUAUCAAUAACUGAUAGUUUAGUAAAAUGGAGCAUUACACUUAAAACGAGUCUUCAAAAACAAACAGCUGUUCUUGCUGACGUCACGGUUGACUUAUUAUUCGCCCGCGCCUUUGAAUGUUUAAGUUCGCGGAGUCUAACGAAGUUGCUACCUAGCGCUUUUCUCACGUUAACCAGAUUAACCCCUGCAGAGGCUAAUGAACGGCAGAAAAGGAUGGAGUCUCGUUUAAACCACUGUUUCUUAUCCUAAUUGCAAUAUUUUUCAACGUGUGUCAGUUGAUCUAACUUCCGCUGAUCCAAUUGAAAAAAAUGAUGACUUGAAGAUUCUCAACAACGACGGGCCUGAAAAUUUGGCAGGGUAGAUCUGCCACAAACUUAUUGAAAACAACCCCGAAAUUUGUGCCAAUUCAGAAAAUUGUUCGUCUUAUACUUGGGUGGAUCACCUAUAUGAAGGAGGACUCUCAUAACCAAUAGAUAUGAAGAUGGAGCAUAUGAGAGGCUUGCAAGCAGUAUUUGACGACUUAAAUGGUACUGAUUUGCAUAUGUAUAUGUACAAAUUACGUCCAGAAGCACUUAGAAUUAAGUAAUUUUGUAAAUUGUAGCGCAAAAGUAAAAUAAUUGUUUUUCAGAGCUAGAAUGUAUUUCAGGAUUCGUUCCUUAAAUAAAAACUUAAUUGAAAAUAUGUACAGCAAAAAAGGAAAUUAAAUAAGAAAAUAAAUUGAUAGUUGGUCACAAAA